UGAGCUGCCGGUCAGAGUAUAAGAACCUCUUUAUUGUUAGCGUACUGCUUGGCGGUAACAGGUGUCCUGCUUGGGUUCAGAUUACUGGAUACGCCGUCACUUGAACCUCGGCGGCCGGAGCAGGUGAGUACCAGUGGCGCCGGCACCUCGGCCGGCAGAAAACGGUGCCCGUGCCGUGACGAGAUAUAUCAAUUUACGCGAUAGCAUUGCCGGUGAUAGGUCAUACGGGCGCGUCGCUCCAUGCCUGUGUUCUUUGCUGAGGCCGCCACUACGCCUGCGGUGCACUUACUACGUUAUAUCUAUAUAGUCGAUGCUUGUGCAAUGUUGUUAUUCAACAGCUGGCGCUGUGCUCUGGAUACCUGAACUUGUUUAAUGUUUAAUUACUUUGCUGCUGUGCCAUUGCCUAUUGGGUACAGAUAUUUAGUAUUGAAUUCUAGGUGCCAAAUUAACACAAAGAAGUUGCGCUUUUCAACUCAGGAUCAUAUCACACAUCACAGCGUCAUCCUAUAUUGCACGAGUAUUAAUAACAAAAUUUCUGUUGCUGGUGAAAAAAAAAAAUGGCAGACCGAUCAACCUGUAACCUGUAUCUGUGAGAAAAAUGUGCUUCAAGUCCGCGAUUGUCUAUAAAAAAAGGUACUACCUUGGUAUUCAAUGUCAGUAACACUCAUAAGUUAUGCAUCCUUUUGUGUGAAAUAAUUUGUCUUAGAAGCCAUUCAUUGUAAGGGAUCAGUAAACAUCUCAUAGCUUAAGUAGUGCAUAUGUGCAUGGGUUGGGCAAAGGUAUUGGUUUGUAAAGAGCAAAGCCAUUAAGAUAUAAAAUAUUGGCAAGCUUAGUUUAACAAUAAGCUGACGAAUAUACAAAACCUAAUGUAGCAGCAGAUGUUCACCAAGAUAAGCUUGUGACCAGCUUUUUUGUGUUCUGUGUGAUCACUGUAGUGUCAAAUUUUUCAUUUUUAUUUCAGGACUGCGGCUGCGGUCGUUUCAUUGCCAACUGUGAGGAUGAAGCAGCUUCAUGGCCGGAGAUCGGGCGCCUCCCAUCAGUUUCCCUUUUCAGCAAUAGAGGCCUUGGAGGCCUUUCUACCUGAGUUGCAUCCUGUGGCUGGACCACUCCCACGAUCUCGGCAGAAUCGUUACACAGGAAGAAGUCUGGCUGGCCCCAAGCCUGGUGCAAAAUGAAGAAAUGGCACUCCACAUCAAUUCAUGUUUACUUGUCGUCAUAACCAGUCUGUUAGCUUAAUUUUUGGUUCUUCCUAUUGAAUUCUCAAGAAAGGUACCAACUCUGUCAUUCACUCUGCAAACAAAUUUUUGCACUUGGGGAUGCAGCCAUGCACAAAGCCUUUGAGCUCAUUAAUAUCUUUAUUUUUUAAAGUGCAGCUGCUGCGUGGAGCAAUAGGUUGAAUAAGACGAGGGUAAAUGAAAAGAUGGCGAAAUUAGUCAUCAACAGUUGUCCAACAAAGGAAGUCUCAAGCUGGAGGCAACAUCUUUGCAAGAGAACCAAAUGGCUCCAGCCUGAGACAUUCGUUGUUCAACCUGGCAAGUCUCCUUCUCUAAAUAUUUCCUCUAGCCUGAGACCUAUAUCCAUUCCACCACCCUUGACCAACAAUACACCUAUACAUUUGGCAACCCAUGGAAAGGUAGCAAAUUCACAUUCAAGGAAAGGGAAUGUAGUGUGCACCCUGGAAGGUAGCAUGAACAGUAUUUUAUUUACUUAAUGAAAUGCAGAUUUGCUAUCCAAUUACUUUAUUUUGAUCCCCGUUUUAUAAUUGGACAGCAUGGUUCCUCAGAGAGAAUAAUAAUUCGAAGCUCACACAAUUUUGCUCCUUUAUGUCCGUUAAAUCUGUCCUGGUUGCUACACUAUCAGCCCUGUCUGCAAUUGCGUAGCAGUGUUUUGAGCAUGCAUCCAAAUUCAAAAGAAUAGUUAGGCUUCUACCUCAGAAUGUUUGCUACUGUGUUGCAGCUCGAAUUCUAUGUCUAGGUGGUCACUGUGAUGCCAUGUGCUUUUUAAAUAAGACCAAUAUGCUAUUUGAAGGGCAAUUAAAUGCAAUCUCAAAUGACCUCAGCUCGGGGAAUGACACAAUUGGAGGUCAAUGUGAUAAGGAGGAUUUGAUUUCUGAAAACAAGGCACUUAAACGGGAGAAGGCAUGACUAAUUUCGUAUAAAGAUGCUGCUUUUGGAUAUGAUCAGGGAAGGUACUUGUUCGUGGCUGCAUUUGCAACAUGUUACAUUGCUGGCUUUAUAUAUUGCACUGGGUACAGUGAAAUGUUGCUGCUUGCACAAUAUUCAACUAAACAUGGUAGCCAUGCUAAUGUGUCCAUGCAGAACACAACUCAUCCACUAUUAUGGACUACAGUGGAAUCUCGAUAAACGAAAAUCGCUUCGAAACUGCCGCUUAAAUAGGACACCAUCCUGAUAAUUGGUUGGCUCUCUGCUAUGUCUCUCAGUAAAUAUAAUGCCUGGUAAAUG